rnacentral:rRNA from 1 species
AUUGAACGCUGGCGGCAGGCCUAACACAUGCAAGUCGAACGGUAACAGGAAGAAGCUUGCUUCCUUGCUGACGAGUGGCGGACGGGUGAGUAAUGUCUGGGAAACUGCCUGAUGGAGGGGGAUAACUACUGGAAACGGUAGCUAAUACCGCAUAACGUCGCAAGACCAAAGAGGGGGACCUUCGGGCCUCUUGCCAUCGGAUGUGCCCAGAUGGGAUUAGCUAGUAGGUGGGGUAACGGCUCACCUAGGCGACGAUCCCUAGCUGGUCUGAGAGGAUGACCAGCCAAACUGGAACUGAGACACGGUCCAGACUCCUACGGGAGGCAGCAGUGGGGAAUAUUGCACAAUGGGCGCAAGCCUGAUGCAGCCAUGCCGCGUGUAUGAAGAAGGCCUUCGGGUUGUAAAGUACUUUCAGCGGGGAGGAAGGGAGUAAAGUUAAUACCUUUACUCAUUGACGUUACCCGCAGAAGAAGCACCGGCUAACUCCGUG